rnacentral:rRNA from 1 species
GAUGAACGCUGGCGGCGUGCCUAAUACAUGCAAGUCGAGCGAACAGACGAGGAGCUUGCUCCUCUGACGUUAGCGGCGGACGGGUGAGUAACACGUGGAUAACCUACCUAUAAGACUGGGAUAACUUCGGGAAACCGGAGCUAAUACCGGAUAAUAUAUUGAACCGCAUGGUUCAAUAGUGAAAGACGGUUUUGCUGUCACUUAUAGAUGGAUCCGCGCCGCAUUAGCUAGUUGGUAAGGUAACGGCUUACCCAGGCAACGAUGCGUAGCCGACCUGAGAGGGUGAUCGGCCACACUGGAACUGAGACACGGUCCAGACUCCUACGGGAGGCAGCAGUAGGGAAUCUUCCGCAAUGGGCGAAAGCCUGACGGAGCAACGCCGCGUGAGUGAUGAAGGUCUUCGGAUCGUAAAACUCUGUUAUUAGGGAAGAACAAAUGUGUAAGUAACUAUGCACGUCUUGACGGUACCUAAUCAAAAAGCCACGGCUAACUACGUG